rnacentral:rRNA from 1 species
UACGUAGGGGCGAGCGUUGUCCGGAAUUAUUGGGCGUAAAGAGCUCGUAGGCGGUUCUGUCGCUGUCGCUGUGAAAACUCGGGGCUUAACCCCGGGCCUGCAGUGGGUACGGGCAGACUAGAGUGCGGUAGGGGAGACUGGAAUUCCUGGUGUAGCGGUGAAAUGCGCAGAUAUCAGGAGGAACACCGGUGGCGAAGGCGGGUCUCUGGGCCGUAACUGACGCUGAGGAGCGAAAGCAUGGGGAGCGAACAGG